UUUCCUUCUUUUUCCCUUUCACCGUCAUCCAUGAGAAGACACAGUGUUCCAUCCAGAGUAUGUAGCAUCAAGGCGUCAUCUUAAAAGCAGAGAACAGACUCUUACUUGACACUAGAUGCCAGUGCAUUGAUCUUGGACUUCCCAGCCUCCAGAACUGUAAACAGCCCUGGGACAAAGAACAGACUACAGGUAUUGCCUUCUUAAUCAACAAUAAAGUAUUAGUUGGCUUCCAGGCAGACACCACUGACUUUCAAGAGAAAGGCAAGGGAGUAAGGAAGUAAAGAAUUCAGGGCAAACGUCAAGCUUUCCUCUGGGCUCCAAUGUAAAAGAAGUGGAUAGCGGCUGACUAGUGUACAUAUUAUGUAUGCAGACUUUGAAGGAAUCCCUCUUGUUUUUAGCUGUUCUUCCAUUGCUCCUGGAGACUCUGAGCUCAGAGAUUUUCUAGGCUCUGAUGGGCAGAGUGGCUCGUUUCCUCCCUGAAGUUUCCUUCAUGCUACAUUCUGGAUUACAACCUCCUCCAAAGAGUGUCAUCUUUCAAUAUAAUGUCAUCUCUUGAUUUCUCUGUUUUCUUUUCUUCACUAUAAUAGGUAAUUCUAUGUUUUAGCAGAGCUAAAUACAUCGCCUUCAUCUUCAA
rnacentral:lncRNA from 1 species